CCUACGGGAGGCAGCAGUGGGGAAUUUUCCGCAAUGGGCGAAAGCCUGACGGAGCAACGCCGCGUGAGGGAUGAAGGCCUCUGGGCUGUAAACCUCUUUUCUCAAGGAAGAAGAUCUGACGGUACUUGAGGAAUAAGCCACGGCUAAUUCCGUGCCAGCAGCCGCGGUAAUACGGGAGUGGCAAGCGUUAUCCGGAAUCAUUGGGCGUAAAGCGUCCGCAGGCGGCCUUGUAAGUCUGCCGUUAAAGCGUGGAGCUUAACUCCAUUUCAGCGGUGGAAAC
rnacentral:rRNA from 1 species